rnacentral:rRNA from 1 species
GUAAUACUUAGGAAUCUACCUAGUAGUGGGGGAUAGCUCGGGGAAACUCGAAUUAAUACCGCAUACGACCUACGGGAGAAAGGGGGCAACUUGUUGCUCUCGCUAUUAGAUGAGCCUAAGUCGGAUUAGCUAGAUGGUGGGGUAAAGGCCUACCAUGGCGACGAUCUGUAGCUGGUCUGAGAGGAUGAUCAGCCACACCGGGACUGAGACACGGCCCGGACUCCUACGGGAGGCAGCAGUGGGGAAUAUUGGACAAUGGGGGAAACCCUGAUCCAGCCAUGCCGCGUGUGUGAAGAAGGCCUUUUGGUUGUAAAGCACUUUAAGCAGUGAAGAAGACUCUUCGGUUAAUACCCGGAGACGAUGACAUUAGCUGCAGAGUAAGCACCGGCUAACUCUGUGCCAGCAGCCGCGGUAAUACAGAGGGUGCAAGCGUUAAUCGGAAUUACUGGGCGUAAAGCGAGCGUAGGUGGCUUGAUAAGUCAGAUGUGAAAUCCCCGGGCUUAACCUGGGAACUGCAUCUGAUACUGUCAGGCUAGAGUAGGUGAGAGGAAGGUAGAAUUCCAGGUGUAGCGGUGAAAUGCGUAGAGAUCUGGAGGAAUACCGAUGGCGAAGGCAGCCUUCUGGCAUCAUACUGACACUGAGGCU